rnacentral:tRNA from 1 species
GCCUGUGUGGCGGAAUUGGUAGACGCAACGGACUUAAAAUCCGUGGGUUUUUUAACCUUGGGAGUUCAAGUCUCCCCACAGGUACCA